rnacentral:rRNA from 1 species
CCUACGGGAGGCAGCAGUGAGGAAUAUUGGUCAAUGGGCGAGAGCCUGAACCAGCCAAGUAGCGUGAAGGAUGACUGCCCUACGGGUUGUAAACUUCUUUUAUAAAGGAAUAAAGUGAGGCACGUGUGCCUUUUUGUAUGUCCUUUAUGAAUAAGGAUCGGCUAACUCCGUGCCAGCAGCCGCGGUAAUACGGAGGAUCCGAGCGUUAUCCGGAUGUAUUGGGUUUAAAGGGAGCGUAGAUGGGUUGUUAAGUCAGUUGUGAAAGUUUGCGGCUCAACCGUAAAAUUGCAAUUGAUACUGGCAGUCUUGAGUACAGGUGAGGUAGGCGGAAUUCGUGGUGUAGCGGUGAAAUGCGUAGAGAUCACGAAGAACUCUGAUUGCGAAGGCAGCUUACUAAACUGCCACUGACAUUGAUGCGCGAAAGUGUGGGUAUCAAACAGGAUUAGAUACCCGAGUAGUC